AGACCCACAGAGUGCAGUGCCUGAGACCAGCUCCUUCUGGCAGUUUGCCUCCGGAAGGGACGCUUCAAUCCCCUCUAGCCCCCUUUCGCCCUGCCUUUUGUGACCAGCAAACUGUACCAAAGAGGUGAUUAGAUGGUGGCCCUCACCGAGAACUGCCUUGGCGCAGCCAUGCUGGUCUCCUGACAAAGUCACCCACAGCCAAAGUCUCUGCAGAUCCCUAACUGCACCUUGUUCAGUGUAUUCUUUCUAUCUCUGGAGGCAUUGAACUUCACGCCUUACUAGAGGCUGCAGAAUCUUCUACAUUCUUCAGCUUUGGAGGCCCAGGGUGAACAUGCCAUGGAGUGAGUAGUCACCCCAGAGAUUUCCUGCCUUGAUUCCAGAAGAACCUGGUAGAUCAGUUGAGGUCAAGCUCACUGACAUCCUCCUGUGCCUCAUCUACUAGGAUUACAGGAGUGGCACAGAUUGGACCCUACCCAGAGGAAUAUGCACAAGGAUGUGAUGCUGGAGACCUACAGUCACUGGGUCUCUGCGUGGCCAAACCAGACAUGAUCUUCAAGUUGGAGUGGGGAGAAGAACUGUGUCUAUUAGAAGAGGAAUCCUCAGGUAUGUACAGCCCAAGUUGGCCUGAAACUCAUGAACCUCCUACUUCAG
rnacentral:lncRNA from 1 species